UGUAUGAGUAAUCUUUGUGACGUUACAAAAUACUAAUUUUAAUUUUUUUGAUAGUAUGACUAAUCUGUGUGACGUCACGAAAAAAUUAUAUAUUAAGGUUUUACCUCCCCGCCACAUUCAUUUCAGAAACUUUUAGCUAUAGACAUUCCAACAAAUUUAUUUUAUACUAUUGUUCAUUAAUCAUAAGUACUAGUUAAAUCAUGUUUUGGUCUUUUGAAGCUAAACGAUUUGACUAAUUCGAAGCAAAAAAGUGAAUGUGCUUUAUCCACUACUGACUGAUACGAGAAGUCGAAGAAACUCUGGUGAUUGAGGUCGACGAAACAUAUCCUACCAACUUGGAUCCGAAUUCGCUUCUUGAAGACUUUGAAUAUCCCCACUCAUCGUCAAUCUCAGGUACAUUCUCCUCUCCGUUUAGAUACCUAAGCACGAUUCUCAUCGACGGCCGAGACGCCGGUUUUUGGUGGCAACAGAGCAAUCCGACGGCGAGAGCAAGCCUUGCUUCUCCUCCGUCGUAACCAGAUCCUAGUCUCGGAUCAAUCGCACUGAGAAUCUCACCGUUCGCGUGAAGCUCCAUAACCCAAUCGACCAAGAAGAAGGUACCGGAAUCCGUUGGUUUUCUCCCGCAAACGAUCUCUAACAACAAAACGCCAAACGCGAAAACAUCAGACGCAGAUGAGGGGUUUCCGUUGCGGGAAAGCUCUGGCGCCAUGUACCCGAUGGUUCCAACGAGUGCUGUUGUUUCCGAUAGCGUUCCGCGUUCGUAAAGCCUCGCGAGUCCAAAAUCUCCCAAUCUAGGGUUCAUCUUUGAAUCGAUCAAGACAUUGCUAGGUUUCACGUCUCUAUGAAUCACAAUCUUCUCCCAUUCUUCGUGAAGAUACAAUAAACCAGACGCGAUUCCUUUAGCGAUCUGAAAACGAGCGUUCCACGACAAAACGGCGCCGCUUCUUCUCGGUACAGUGUAGAGCAGAGAGUCUAAGCUUCCGUUGGGGAUGUAAUCGUAAAUCAACAAGAGAUCGUUUUUGUGUUUGCACCAUCCUUGGAGGUUCACCAGAUUCUUAUGCCUUAGUUUCCCCAAACUCUCGAUCUCUGCGACAAAUUCUCGAACACCUUGCCUGCUACUUGGAAUUAUCUUCUUCACUGCGAUGGGAUCCGAAUUCGGCAGUUUUCCUUUGAAAACGGUUCCAAAUCCUCCGGUUCCGAUGAUUCCAGUCUUUUUGAAUCCAUCCGUGGCUACGUAGAGGUCUCUGUAUCUCAAUCUGCGAGGAUGAUCGAUUUCCCAGUCUUCAAGAGUCUCUUCUUGUCCCAGUCUCUUCUUGUACAUGACGAAGAAGAAGAGUAACACAAGCAUGACCAGCAUUACUGCCGAUAACGCCACGAUCAUAACAAUGACUUGAGAAUUUAAACCUUCCUUCUUCGCCUUAUUCGGCGGCGGCGGAGGAAGCUCCGAGAGGAUUAGAACAUCCGCAAUUGGACGUUCUCCGCCGCUUGAGAAACUCCAACCCAUCACGUAAUGAGCACUUGACUGACCUUUCCCCGUCGAUGCCGUGAAUCCGACGUACAUUUCUUCUUGCACAAUCUCCAACAGUUUUGGAACAUGUUGAGAGAUCAAAGGCUUUGUGGGUUUAAACCCUAAUCUCGCGGGAUAAACGGUGACGUUUAGCAUUUGUGUUGCUCCAUCAUACUCCAAAAGGGCUUGAAUAGGAUUGCCACUCUCAAGCUGGAAAUCUUCUUUUUUGUUGUGAUCAUCAUUGUUGUAAUACACGACUGGUUCUUGGAGAUCCGAAGUACGACUGUUGUAAUUCAGACCGAUGUCGUUUCCUAUUCUGUCGGUGUUGUCGUCUCUUGAUCCUUGCACCGUGUCGAAUUCCACUGCGAAUACGUGGUUCCUAGGAUCCCCAUUGUUCUCUUUGUUGAAAACUCCCAAGUACUGUGCGGAUCCAGCAUUGAGACGAUAAGGUGUUGGAGAUAGUGUGAAUGUGAAUCCAAAGCCUUUAUUGCUUGAGCUUGAAGGGAUUAUGACAAAGACGAAAGACGUGCUAAAGGAACGAAUUGUGACGUUUGUGGAAUUUCUAUUAAGCAACCUCACCGGUUUGUGGUAGAAAGCUGUACCGGUAACAUUCGACUUUCGGUCAGUGAGUCUCAAUAGUCCGUCGGGUUUGAUCAUCGCGGCUCCUUCAAUCCGAAUCUUCGAUUGGUUUCCGUUAAAACCUCGGAAAGCAAAAUUUGUUGUUGUUCUCUGAGCUCGAACAUGGACGCUCAAAAACAGGAAAAGCUUGAAUAAGAAUGAGACUAUGAACAUGGAUCUUUGUGUGCCCAUGGGUGAGCGAAGUAAAGAAGGAGAUAAAGAGAUACUUUGAAGAGUUCUUUGUUAGAUAAUUUCUUUUAUGGACAUGAGAUGAGAGUUUGUUUUUUUUCUUUCAGAUUCUAAUGAGUCAAAGAAGAUGAAAAUUAUACCAAAACCAAAAAAGAAGAAGGAACAUGGUACUUUCCGCUCAAUGUUCACAUUACCGUACAUUGAAAAUAUAUGGCACCCAAUGUUUUUGUGAAAAUUAAUAAAUAGAAAAAAAAUAUUAGCCA